GGUUAGUUCCUAGGGAAAUGUCCCCACUUACAUCGGCAUGAUAUGUCAAGUUUGUUUGUUUGUUUGUUUGUUUAUUUAUUUAUUUAUUGGCAUUAUGCAGGGCUUAUGUAGGCAAACAUACUGAUGAAGUUUCCUGGAUGCAGCUUCCCGGUUCUGUCAAGAAGAUUCUAUCUUAAGGAGGGCAUCCCGCCCCUCUUCUGGCUCCUAGGAUCUUCACAGCCUCUUACUUUUGAAGGAAUGCGGGCCUCCCAGGCCACAGGCAAAUAGUUUUUCGCUUUGGGUGCUGUUCUGCAGCCCUGUGGAGGAUCACAUUUGCAUAGAUGGCUUCCAGGCUCCCUUUCUGCUCCCACACUUUGCCUGGAACCCGCUGUGUUUCCUGCUGAAUGCUUUUGAAGGUUUCUGUUCUGUUGCAAAUGGAGACAUUGCUUCCUGUGGCUGUGGCUAUCACAUGCAAAUAAACCAGAGGAAGGCAAGCUGGGAUGACAAGUGUCCAGGACCUGAACUCAAUGUCUGACUGUUGAGUGAAGAAUCUCAAGUCCCAUCCAUAUGAAAACCUAUCUAACUAGCUUUGAAGGGCAUGCAGGGAGGAGAGAGGUUGACCUACUUCUUGGAUGACCAAGUGAGCCCGAAGCCAAGACACCAACUUGGAAUUUCUUUCAAGAGGAGGGUCUUCUGUGAGCCACAUGUUUCAGAUGCCAACACCCGUGAGCUGGAGCUGAUUGUUGACUGUAUCUCAGCCACUGUCCAUCCUGUUCUGGGUGAUAGUUUGAUUAGGGUCAAGACAAGGAGAUAGGAACAGGAGACAUGGAGAGGAGCCUCCACUAUCAGGAAGAUGAUUCUGAAGAAAAGGAACUUUAGAUGAACCAGCGUUA
rnacentral:lncRNA from 1 species